rnacentral:rRNA from 1 species
UUUAAAUGUAAUUAUUUAAACUAAGUGAUUAAUAGUUAAGUUCUUUAAAGCUAAAUAAUUUGGCGGUAUUUUAUUCUUUUCAGAGGAACCUGUUCAGUAAUCGAUAAUCCACGAUUGAAUUAACUUAAAUUAGAAAUUUUUAUAUCGUUGUUAUUAAAUAUUUUAUAAGAACUUAAUAUUUAAAAAUUUUUUAAAAAAAUAAAUCAAAUCAAGGUGAAGUUUAUAUUUAAGAUGAGAUGGGUUACAUUUAAUUAAAUUAAUGAAUUUUUAAUUUUUAAAGUUUUAUGAAAUUGGAUUUGAAAGUAAUUAGUUAAACUUUUUUCUAAUGAUUAAGCGCUAAAAUAUGU